AGUUUAGUUGGCUGUUUUUUUUUUGUUUUUCUUCUUUCUUUCCUUUUGCACGCUUUUUCGGAUUUUAGCCAAGUCAUGGAGCCGCAUUUCUCACAUCAGACAACGGACGGGCCGUCAGUUGGGCUUUAAACUGCAGACUGGAACGCAGAGAGCAGAGAGGAGUGGAGAGGCGACAGGCCCAGACAGGAUAUGAAAAAGUGUCGGUGUAUAAUGGCAAAAGUCUAAGAUACCACAACAACAGCCAGCCGCAGCCAAAGCCAAACAACACACAGAAAAGUGCAAAUAAAGAUGGCUAAAAUGCACUUAAACCCAAGUGAACUCUUUGGGCCACAGAAGCGACGGGCCGAAAAGAAGGCGGGCAGGCGGGCAGGCAGGCAAGAGAAUGGGCGUCCAAAGGAAUAGGUGUGACCAGUCCGGCGGCAAGAAAUGCCAUCAAAAUAAGUAGUAGAGACAGGAGAACAGAAGAUUAUCUUUCGUUGAUAUCCAAAAAAAAAGAAAGAGAAGGACAAAAAGAUGUGACCAAGAGGGGCCAUCUAAAGGUACCAGUGUGACCAGUCUGGGGCAAUGGGCACUGAAGGAACGCAGCUGUAAAUCACAGAUAGCGGCCCAAGGGCAAUCCCCGAAAUGGAACCACAAAACUGUAUGGAACUCUUCCUUCCAUGAUUCACAUUCGACUCGCCUUUUAUUUCCCCCGCACUGAUAUCGCCGAGCAUCCAGCACUUUAAGCAAUGCCCGUUGGACUCCCAGCUUUUUAGAGGUGACUCAGAGGUGAGAUUGUGGAACCAGUACUUCUUGGGCUCUCUAUUUGUUGCCUUUUUUUAUCAUGCUCGUUGGUAUCAGCUACGAUCGGGAGAUAGCGAAAUAUUGUUUAUCUUAUUUAUUGGCUGGGUUAUUUUCGCGAUAGAAGGAUUCAUACUUCUAUUUGGGGCAUUCACAAAUCGACGUUAAAUGAGGUAAUAAUAACCUUUCGAUCUAUA